rnacentral:rRNA from 1 species
GACGAACGCUGGCGGCGUGCUUAACACAUGCCAGUCGUACGGUAAGGCCCUUUCGGGGGUACACGAGUGGCGAACGGGUGAGUAACACGUGAGUAACCUGCCCACAACUUUGGGAUAACGCUAGGAAACUGGUGCUAAUACUGGAUAUGUUCUCCUGCUGCAUGGUGGGGGUUGGAAAGCUCCGGCGGUUGUGGAUGGACUCGCGGCCUAUCAGCUUGUUGGUGGGGUAGUGGCCUACCAAGGCGGCGACGGGUAGCCGGCGUGAGAGGGUGACCGGCCACAUUGGGACUGAUCUACGGCCAAGACACCUACGGGAGGCAGCAGAGGGGAAUAUUGCACAAUGGGCGCAAGCCUGAUGCAGCAACGCCGCGUGCGGGAUGACGGACUUCGGGUUGUAAACCGCUUUCAGCAGGGACGAAGCUUUUUGUGACGGUACCUGCAGAAGAAGCACCGGCUAACUACGUG